rnacentral:rRNA from 1 species
UACGAAGGGGGCUAGCGUUGCUCGGAAUCACUGGGCGUAAAGCGCACGUAGGCGGCUUAUUAAGUCAGGGGUGAAAUCCUGGAGCUCAACUCCAGAACUGCCUUUGAUACUGAUGAGCUUGAGUUCGGGAGAGGUGAGUGGAACUGCGAGUGUAGAGGUGAAAUUCGUAGAUAUUCGCAAGAACACCAGUGGCGAAGGCGGCUCACUGGCCCGAUACUGACGCUGAGACGCGAAAGCGUGGGGAGCAAACAGG